rnacentral:ncRNA from 1 species
GCAUUUUUGGUAGCAGAACUGGCGAUGCGGGAUGAACCGAACGCGCGGUUAAGGUGCCAAAGUCGACGCUCAUCAGACCCCACAAAAGGUGUUGGUUGCUCUAGACAGCAGGACGGUGGCCAUGGAAGUUGGAAUCCGCUAAGGAGUGUGUAACAACUCACCUGCCGAAGCAACUAGCCCUGAAAAUGGAUGGCGCUCAAGCGUCGCACCUAUACCGUGCCGUCGGAGCAGAUGCGAAGCUCCGACGAGUAGGAGGGCGUGGGGGUCGUGACGCAGCCUCUGGCGCGAGCCUGGGUGAAACGGCCUCCAGUGCAGAUCUUGGUGGUAGUAGCAAAUAUUCAAAUGAGAGCUUUGAAGACCGAAGUGGAGAAAGGUUCCAUGUGAACAGCAGUUGGACAUGGGUUAGUCGAUCCUAAGAGAUAGGGAAAUUCCGUUUGCAAGCGCCCGAUCUUGGGCCGCCUAUCGAAAGGGAAUCGGGUUAAUAUUCCCGAACCGGGACGCGGAUAUUGCCGUUCGCGGCAGAUGCGGUAACGCAAACGAACCCGAAGACGCUGGCGGGGGCCCUGGGAAGAGUUCUCUUUUCUUUUUAACGAGCUUUCACCCUGAAAUCAGCUUGCCUGGAGAUAGGGUUUAAUGCUCGGUAAAGCACCACACUUCUUGUGGUGUCCGGUGCGCUCUCGACGGCCCUUGANAAUUCGGGGAAGACAUUGAUUUUCGUGUCCGGUCGUACUCAUAACCGCAGCAGGUCUCCAAGGUGAGCAGCCUCUGGUUGAUAGAACAAUGUAGGUAAGG